UGCCCAACGACUCCUAUCCCUACCUCCAAGUGGCACCGGCCGGGCUGCGAGCAUCCUUAGGAAAGAUUGGGUAACCAACCCCGGUGGAGACUUAUGUCGUAGGCUGAAAGGGAAGG
rnacentral:ribozyme from 1 species